UUGCCCUCUUAAGGCUGGGUGGUGCUUUAAGGGGCCAACACUGAAGGGUAGAGCAGUAUUCUCUUAAACACCAAGGGGAGGAUGAAGAUCCUUCCCUGGAGCUUGUUGGGAGAAACAUGU